rnacentral:rRNA from 1 species
UACGUAGGCAGCGAGCGUUGUUCGGAUUUACUGGGCGUAAAGGGUGUGUAGGCGGUUGUUUAAGUUUGGUGUGAAAUCUCCCGGCUCAACUGGGAGGGUGCGCCGAAUACUGAGCGACUCGAGUGCGGGAGAGGAAAGUGGAAUUCCUGGUGUAGCGGUGAAAUGCGUAGAUAUCAGGAGGAACACCGGUGGUGUAGACGGCUUUCUGGACCGUAACUGACGCUGAGACACGAAAGCGUGGGUAGCAAACAGG